rnacentral:rRNA from 1 species
AUCUUCCGCAAUGGGCGAAAGCCUGACGGAGCAACGCCGCGUGAGUGAUGAAGGGUUUCGGCUCGUAAAACUCUGUUAUUCGGGAAGAACAAAUGCGUAAGUAACUGUGCACACCUUGACGGUACCUAAUCCGAAAGCCGCGGCUAACUACGUGCCGGCAGCCGCGGUAAUACGUAGGUGGCAAGCGUUAUCCGGAAUUAUUGGGCGUAAAGGCGGCGUAGGCGGUUUCUUAAGUCUGAUGUGAAAGCCCACGGCUCAACCGUGGAGGGUCAUUGGAAACUGGGAAACUUGAGUGCAGAAGAGGAAAGUGGAAUUCCAUGUGUAGCGGUGAAAUGCGCAGAGAUAUGGAGGAACACCAGUGGCGAAGGCGACUUUCUGGUCUGUAACUGACGCUGAUGUGCGAAAGCGUGGGGAUCAAACA